rnacentral:lncRNA from 1 species
UUUUAGUGAAAUCAUUAUACUUUCUAUUUUUUCUUUUUAUCAUACAAACUUCACAUUUAAAGCUCAAAAAAGCAAAAGUACGAAGACGUAAUCCAAAAAAAAAAAAAAAAUUCCAACACAGAGCUCAGCUUAUCCCAAAAAAAUCCAGCUUAUAAUCUCAUACAUUCUCGCAUGAUCGGCAGCCCAUCAUCACCGUCCCAAAAAAAUCCAGCUUAUAAUCUCAUACAUUCUGACAUGAUCGGCAGCCCAUCAUCACCGUCAUCGAAUCCAAUUUCAAUAAACAAAAACAUAGGGAAAUGACACCAAAUUUGAUGAAAAUUGGCAAGAGAAAAUGAAAAUAGCCCAACACAAAUAAAAAACCCAUAAAUCCAGACAUACAACUAAAUGCGGUAGAACCAAAUAUAAGCAAGAGCAAGCAAACUCUACAUGCAAGACCACAAACCAAUAGAGAAAGAAAUGGCAUUUUCCGGGCUUUAUAAACACGGAGGGAUCCAAUUGAGGCAUCCAGUACUCAAGUGCUUAUUCCACCUAUUUUCAUAAAUUCGCCAAUUAUUGACGAAGACAAAGCUUCCUCCAGGCAGACACUUCACAUGCAACACCACAAACCAAAUAGAUCGGAAAAAGAAAUCUCACCAUUAAAGCACAAGCACACAAUCCAACAAAGACCACAACUCUAUACGACUGAACAGAUGCUGAGAUUAAACGACUCAUUCCCCAACCAGAGCCACUAUCUACCCAAAGAACAGAGGAGCCAAUAACAGCAACACCAAAAAUUAUUAGAACCAAAGGAAACAACACCCUUCACCGAUUAGAAUUAAUAACAGCACGAAUCACAAAACUGCUCUGCGCUUUGCUUUCCUUUUCUCGCUCUGCGCUUUGCUUUCCUUUUCUCACUCUAUGCUUUGCUUUGCCUUUGUCUUCGUCUCUCUUUUCUCCCCUUCUGUCUAGUAUUGUCAUAGUACAUUUUC